UGAGGAAUAUUGGUCAAUGGAGGCAACUCUGAACCAGCCAUGCCGCGUGCAGGAUGACGGUCCUAUGGAUUGUAAACUGCUUUUGUACAGGAAGAAAUGUUACUACGUGUAGUAAUUUGACGGUACUGUAAGAAUAAGGAUCGGCUAACUCCGUGCCAGCAGCCGCGGUAAUACGGAGGAUCCGAGCGUUAUCCGGAAUUAUUGGGUUUAAAGGGUUCGUAGGCGGUUGGAUAAGUCAGUGGUGAAAUCUCAUAGCUUAACUAUGAAACUGCCGUUGAUACUGUCUGACUUGAAUAGUAUGGAAGUAACUAGAAUAUGUAGUGUAGCGGUGAAAUGCUUAGAUAUUACAUGGAAUACCAAUUGCGAAGGCAGGUUACUACGUACUUAUUGACGCUGAUGA
rnacentral:rRNA from 1 species